rnacentral:rRNA from 1 species
AGUGAACGCUGGCGGUAGGCCUAACACAUGCAAGUCGAACGGCAGCACAGUAAGAGCUUGCUCUUACGGGUGGCGAGUGGCGGACGGGUGAGGAAUACAUCGGAAUCUACUUUUUCGUGGGGGAUAACGUAGGGAAACUUACGCUAAUACCGCAUACGACCUACGGGUGAAAGCAGGGGAUCUUCGGACCUUGCGCGAUUGAAUGCGCCGAUGUCGGAUUAGCUAGUUGGCGGGGUAAAGGCCCACCAAGGCGACGAUCCGUAGCUGGUCUGAGAGGAUGAUCAGCCACACUGGAACUGAGACACGGUCCAGACUCCUACGGGAGGCAGCAGUGGGGAAUAUUGGACAAUGGGCGCAAGCCUGAUCCAGCCAUACCGCGUGGGUGAAGAAGGCGUUCGGGUUGGAAAGCCCUUUUGUUGGGAAAGAAAAGCAGCAGGUUAAGACCCCGCUGUUCUGACGGUACCCAAAGAAUAAGCACCGGCUAACUUCGUG